GACGAACGCUGGCGGCGUGCUUAACACAUGCAAGUCGAACGGAAAGGCCCUGCUUGCUGGGUACUCGAGGGGCGAACGAGUGAGUAAUACGUGAGUGAUCCGCCCUUCACUGCUAGAUACGCCUGAGUGACUGGGUCUAAUACUGGAUAUGCGCGGUGCAUGGCGUGAUGGUUGGAGAGUUUUUUGUGUGUAGGCUGUGCGCGCGGCCUAUAAGCUUUUUGGUGGGGUAAGGGGCUACAAAGGCGGCGACGGGGACCCCGCCUGAGAGGGUGGACGGCCACAUUGGGGCUGAGAUACGGCGCAGACUCCUACGGGAGGCAGCAGUGGGGAAUAUUGCACAAUGGGCGCGAGCCUGAUGCAGCGACGCCGCGUGGGGGAUGACGGCCUUCGGGUUGUAAACUCCUUUCGCUAGGGGCGAAGCUUUUUGUGACGGUACCUAGAUAAGAAGCACCGGCUAACUACGUG
rnacentral:rRNA from 1 species